ensembl:lncRNA
GUAUGAGAGUGGUGAGGAAAGAUCCAAUUCCAAGAAGGCUCAGAGGAACAAGCUGAAAAGGUACAGCUUUUUUUGGAACCGGCUCAGGAUUAGCAAGAGUCAGGCAUCUUACCAGAAAGUCACUCCACUACAAAACAUCAAGCCUGAAUAGGGACUUGAACCCUGGACCCUUAGAUUAAAAGUCUGAGGCUCUACCAACUGAGGUUUGACCUUGAUUGAAAGGUAAUCUUGUAAAACAAUAGUUAUUAAAGGAAUAUAUGAGACGACUGAGGAGAAAACCAAUUCCAAGAAGGCUCAGAGGAACAAGCUGAAAAGGUACAUCUUUUUUUGGAACCGGUUCAGGAUUAGCAAGAGUCAGGCAUCUUACCAGAAAGUCACUCCACUACAAAACUUCAAGCCUGAAUAGGGACUUGAAACCUGGACCCUUAGAUUAAAAGUCUGAGGCUCUACCAACUGAGGUUUGACCUUGAUUGAAAGGUAAUCUUGUAAAACAAUACUUGUUAAACGAAUAUAUAAGACGACUGAGGAGAAACCCAAUUUCCAAAAAGGCUCAGAGGAACAAGAUGAAAAGGUACAGCUUGUUUUGGAACCAGCUCAGGAUUAGCAAGCAUCAGGAACCUAACCAGAAAGUGACUGCACUACAAGACAUCAAGCCUGAACAGGGACUUGAACCCUGGACCCUCAGAUUAAAAGUCUGAUGCUCUACCGACUGAGCUAUCCAGGCUUCAAAAGCUCUUUUGAUUAUUGCAAAUGUGACUCUGGCAGAGGAACAAACUACAUGUGUUCGUCCAAUUCCAAAAAGGCUCAGAGGAAUGAGCAGAAAAGGUACAGCUUUCUUUGGAACCGGCUCAGGAUUAGCAAGAGUCAGGAAUCUCACCAGAAAGUCACUGCACUACAAGACAUCAAGCCUGAACAGGGACUUGAACCCUGGACCCUUAGAUUAAAAGUCUGAGGCUCUACCAACUGAGGUUUGACCUUGAUUGAAAGGUAAUCUUGGAAAACAAUACUUGUUAAAAGAAAGUAUGAGAGUGGUGAGGA